rnacentral:rRNA from 1 species
CCCUUAGAUGUUCUGGGCUGCACGCGCGCUACACUGAUGCAUCCAGCGAGUUGUAACCUUGCUUGGUAAAGUUUGGUAAUCUGAGCCUAAUGUGCAUCGUGAUGGGAAUAGAGUUUUGCAACUAUUAGUCUUGAACGAGGAAUUCCUCGUAAGCACGAGUCAUCAGCUUGUGCUGAUUACGUCCCUGCCCUUUGUACACACCGCCCGUCGCUCCUACCGAUUGGGUGCUCCGGUGAAUAAUUCGGACUGCAGCAGUGUUCAGUUCCUGAACGUUGCAGCGGAAAGUUUAGUGAACCUUAUCACUUAGAGGAAGGAGAAGUCGUAACA